UCUUAAGAAAUAUCUGAAGACUUUCUGGACAGUAGACAGUCACGGUCUCUCCUAAAGAAGCUGCAUUCCAACAAUUGACACCAUCCCACUCAGUCAGGCAUCCUAUGACAGAAAAGAUGAUUUAUUUCAUAAGCCCGUUAGGAUUAGAAUUUUGUUUUUCCAGAAAUAGCGCCACCCCAGUCCAUAGGUUCUGUCUGGUAUUGCAGUUGAUGGUAGAUGAUGGUAUAAAUGGGGCAGAUGUGCAACAUAUAAACUGUGGAUAGGUGAGGUGCUGUUCUUGGAAUAUAUACUUUGGGGGAGAUUCAUCAAAACCUGUGCAGGGGAAAAGUUGCCCAGUUUCCCAUAGCAACCAAUCAGCUCGCUUCUUUCAUUUUGCAGAGGCCUUGUUAAAAAUGAAAGAAGCGAUCUGAUUGGUUGCUAUGGGCACAGCUUUUGAUAAAUCUCCCCCUUUAUCUCUUUCUUCUUUUCUGGAGAGGGUCGGGAGAUCUCUAUAGCCAGAGUCAGGACUUUGUUCUCUCUAGAAAAUGGCUUGCCUCCUGCUCUAGAACCUGAAGGACCAGUUCACAUUCCGGAUGCGUAGAGAUGACCUAAUGGAGACAGGGACAAAAUGUAACAAGCGACAGAUACCGAGGAUAAUGCCGUGCAUGCACAACGACCAAAGGAACACUAUCAAUUCACCGAAGACACCGAAGACUGAAUUACGCAGGAGACUUACAACACCAGGAAUUGAAUACAUAUAUAUUAAAACAUUACAGUCUGUGC